GGAAUAAUAUUCAACUAUGAUUUAUAAUUUGCAAUUAUAAGGUGCUGCUCUAAGCUUAUUUUA
rnacentral:tRNA from 1 species